CCCAAUUCACUGGUUUCCUUA
rnacentral:miRNA from 1 species